UCGCCCAAAUUUUCUAAUCCCAUAUCAUUAACGGUGUUUUCAGACUUCGCAAGGAAACCAUUAAACUAGCACAAUGAAAAAUAACCAAACACAAUAAGUUAACCGCUUCGCAUUAAAAUACAUAACUUGCCGAUAAGAAUAUCUUCCAACAUCAUUACAAAUACAAAACAUCCCCUCUACGGAUACCGAGGAUGUAAACACAUCCCAACAAGCAAACAUCUACGGUAGUUAAUGCCAACACUAAAAUUUAUGUUUCCCAUUUGCAUUAAACCCACUCUACCCCACAGCUAUAUAUAAGCAAACCUUAAUCUUCAAUAGCGCAACAAGUCUCUCUAUUAUAAAUCACACAACGUCUGCACCGUGAGUCAAGAAAGCUAUUCUCUGUACCUUAUUGCAAUGGGAAAAUACUUUACCGUUAAACUUGGCAGUAAAUCAAAGCAAUUAGAGUGGAUACCAGAACCCAUAUCGAAAACGAAAGUAAGAAUCGCAAGAUGCCUCCAUAUAAAACGAAAGAUCACGUUCCACCUCGCAGCACCCGAUGGGAAAUAUCUCCAUAAAAUAAGAGCAGAAUCUAUCGUCGUCGUAAAGCUUGCCAAACGAAGACGUCGGAACCAAACAAGCAGCAGUACCACCCACCAAAGAACAGAAAAUCAGAACACGCAAAAAACUAUAACUAUAGUAUUUAACUAAUCUACCCCUAAUUCUCUCCUAAUCCUCGCAUAUAUACCCUCCCCCUUUCUUCAAAAAUUUUCACCUAUUUUCAAUUUAUCGAAACAGAUGCUUCAAAAACAAACUCCAAAAUUUUCUUCAAAUAUACAACUUCCAUCAUAUCAAAUAUUUUGAAAACAUCUAUUAGAUUUUGCUUUAAAUGUGCAUAUUGUUUUGAGGAUUCUCAACUCUGCCGUUGCCUGAGCAGUAUUAACUAUUAAUUGUUGUUCUUUUCAACAUUAGCAAACAUUUUCAUAAUUAUUACGAUAAUGAAGUAAAUAUUUGUUUUUCUGCUAGAAAUCUGCCAUUGAACACAAGUAAGGAUAGUUGAUAAUCAGUCAAGUUUUAUAGCAUGAUAAAAAGUCCUCAAAAAUGAAACAUUAAUGGAAGUGCUCAGAAAUGAAACAUUUGUGGAACUAUAUAUAUUCUCUUUCGGCAAUAUUUUAGACAAAGGUAUUAAGUAAAAUUCAUAUAAACAUUAAUUUAUUUUCAAAUUUGGUCGGGGUGAAGACGAAAUAGAUAAAUCACUUUGCUGCAUGCCUCUUCAUGAAAAUAUCGAAAUUUGAGCUUCUCCAUAUAAAAUGGAGGUCGGGGGCAACCAAAAAACAAGUCUAUUGCUUUACCAAAUUUGAAGGCCUCAUCCAUUGGUAUUAAAAUGUCAAAACGAGGCGGAAACGCCCGAGCUGAUAUUAACACACCACCUAGCAACAAUGAAAUCACGUGAUUUGAAUCAGAAAGGAAGAUUCUGUUGAAAGUAGCUAGAUAUAUGUGAACUGUACCAAAAAUAGCGUUAACAUGAUUAUAAUCUCGAAAAAUCAUCUGACCUAUAGACAUUUAAUUGACAAGGUCUUAGUAGUACAUUUAAAACGAACACCACCAACCUCUCCAACAGUUGAAUGGUUUCCAAAUUCCUUUUAUUUGGCAAAUAAAUUAAUUAAUUAAGUCCUGGAUGAUAGACCUACUUAUAAUACGUACAGUAACAAGGUUCGCACAUUAAACGCAAUAAUUAGGCUAGGCUAACCAGGGUCGCAAUUUAAGAUGCCUGAGUAUUGUCAGAAAUUGUAGUAUGAAAGAACCAUUUCCACAACAUCAAACCUAAUGUGCACGUAAAGAACGUUGAAGCUACCAAUAAACAUUGUUUAAUUGCCUACAAAUAAACAACAGAAUGUUUCAAGCACACGGAAACAGCAAAAUCACACUUUUGAUAAUCUACUGAGUUAUUGAUUUAAACUUUAACUGCUCUCUCACACUUUUCCUUCACCAAUUUAGCAACCACCUUCACUAUAAUAACAAAUUAUGUAAAAAAUCCUUCCCUAAUACUGCAAUUUUUCAAUAAUGUCCUUCAGCCUCACAAUACAUAUAUUCUGCUCUCUUCUGAGACCCAUUUCAAGUUUCUCUCAAAACGGCAAACGAACAAGCCCCAAUGGUGACUGCUCAAUACUCAUUCGAUUUAGUCCAUGUUCUAAAAAAAAUAUGUCAUAAGUUCCCACACUUUAUCUAAAUAAACUACAAUCCACUGAAAAGUUUCUACUGAAUGUUAUUGUAAAUAGACUACAAUCCUCCAUAAAGUGUUUACUUAAUGCUAUUCAUUUUUAUUAUUAUGGAAUGGAAGUAAACUAGCCUUUCUUGGCGACCCCGCCAAAGCGGGGUCUUGCAA